UCAAGCAAAAUUAUAAUAUUUUUUUUAAAGUAAACUCAAGUAUAUACUUUUAAGAAAAUUUUAAAAUCUUUUCUAAAUUAUUAUUAAAAUUAUUUUAAUUAGGUGAUGUUUGAAGAAUCCGAACCCAACGAUCCAUAGCUUUGCACUAACAACUCUUAAGUGUCGAAGCUAAUACCAGCAUUUGGCCAAAAGGUCGCACACGCAAACGAGCGCGCGCCAAUCCUUAGAGGGUGAAACUCAGAUCCAGAGUGAGGGUGACACGCGCGCAACAAGAGAGGAACCCUCGAAGAAAAAGAAAAAGUGGUGGGAAAUUCCAAUGUUCGCAUUCGGACCCCUAUUCGAUCGUCUGACGUGUGAUAUUUCCAAUUGGACUGGUGUUUAUUAUAAGGGAUUCCAUCUGACCAAAGCAAAUCGACAGCGAAACAUUUGUGGACAUGCAGGCAGGUGAUCGAAAACAUUUGGACAAUUAAAAUAAUAGAGUGCAAACGAGCUGACAAAAUGCAGAACUGUUUUGUUUAUGUAAUAAAUUUUGACCAUAGUGCAAUUGCAGAACAAAUUUUCUUAUUUGACUAAAUAUUUGGCAAUAUUAUAUUUAUUAAUAUGAUCUGAAUACUAAUAUUGCAGAAAUAGUUCC